CCCCUACGGGAGGCAGCAGUGAGGAAUAUUGGUCAAUGGACGGAAGUCUGAACCAGCCAAGUAGCGUGCAGGAAGACGGCCCUAUGGGUUGUAAACUGCUUUUAUGCGGGGAUAAAGUUAGUCACGUGUGACUAUUUGCAGGUACCGCAUGAAUAAGGACCGGCUAAUUCCGUGCCAGCAGCCGCGGUAAUGGGG
rnacentral:rRNA from 1 species